UACUUACCUGAGAUCCGGAUUGCAAGUUUCUUUUUCACGGAUCCCACGCACUCUAGGGGCUGAUCCUCCCUGAGUGCUAUAGCAACGAGUGGUGCCUUUACCACUCCAAUCUUGUGAGUGUAAUACCUUAAGGGCACCUCUGUUGGCUUUAUUUUAUAUAUCUAUAAGUGAAUUACUAUGCUGCACUAGGAGCUCUCUUUCUGUUUUUGUCUCCUUAAUAGGUGUCCGAGUGAUUUCCAUGUUUG